UACGGAGGGGGCUAGCGUUAUUCGGAAUUAUUGGGCGUAAAGGGCGUGUAGGCGGUCAGGUAAGUGAGAUGUGAAAUGCCCCGGCUCACCCGGGGACCGGCAUCUCAUACUGCUUGGCUUGAGUACGGGAGAGGAUGUGGGAAUUCCUGGUGUAGCGGUGAAAUGCGUAGAUAUCGUAAGGAAGACCAGUGGCGAAGGCGGGUCUCUGGACAGUUCCUGACACUGAGACACGAAGGCCAGGGGAGCAAACGGG
rnacentral:rRNA from 1 species